AAUGGCAGCCACAAUUAUGAUCAAGCGACAAGCGGUCUGUCUGAGGAUGAUAGAGAUGGAUUUCUCCAGGGCAAUGCCAACCUUGCUCCUCCUGCCUCUAGUAAUCAGACCUCCAGUUUAUGUUCUGCCAAACUCUUCCCAUUGGACAUCUGGCCCCAGCAGGGAGAAACACAGACCAAGGCACUUAUUUUGGCUUUGACGUCAGCAAAGGAAGGCUGAUGAAAUUCAUCAUCAGCGCAGAUGAAAAUCCACCGAGCCCUAUCUCUCUUCCUUACACCGCCUCCGUUUCGAAAGCUGACAGAGGUCUCGCUUUCCUUUUGUUUUCAUUUUGCUCUGGAUUAAGCCUGAAUCGGUGGAUGUGGUCGCCAGAUGCCAGGAGAAGUCACCUGCCAUUUGCAGCCAUCCUCAAAUACACCAAGUCAGCAUUUCAAUUCACGAAAGCUCCCAAGACAGAUGUGAAACAGAAAGACGCCAUUGUGGGAAAAUCCCUUCCCUUCUCUGGACAUAUCUAAAUAGGCUGUUAUAUGUGUGACUCCCUCUCAGGGUCUGGCCCUGACCUGUGAUCACUGGGAAUUCAAUAAAGGCUCGCUUCAACUUGAAUUGACUUCUUCGAUUGUUGACUAUCCUUUAAAACAUUUUGACAAAAGAAAAAGAACAACUGCCCAGGAACUCAGCAUUUAGAGGCAAUCUAUAGCUUCUUAAACACAGCAAAAGGGGUGGAAACAGGAUAAUAAAAUGAAAUAUAAAUAGCUUCACCAUUAUCCGUAGAACCCAUUAUGAAGCAUAACAGUGGCUGGUCUCUCUCACUCUCUCUAAAAU
rnacentral:lncRNA from 10 species